AUAUACAUGGCUCAGUUGGUAGAGCAAUGCACUAAUUACGCAAAGGUUGUGGGUUCAAAUCCCAGGGAAAGCA